UUUGGUUAUAACACAUUUCAUUUACUCAGUUCUAUUCUUUACACUGUUCCGAAGCUAAGAUCAGAGCUAACUGCUCAGCUAAACUGUAACUUGUGUAAGUACCCAUUGUAAUGGGAGAUUGAAAGGCCAAAGGAAAAUGGAUUAAUAAAAAAGGGGGAAGAGGGAAGGGGUGGCUUUAUGCCUCAAGUUGCUCUAAAAUUACUGAGCGUCUUGGAAUUGAUGCCCAUGCUUCUUAGAAAGUAUGUUGUAGUUGCCAUUGAUGCCCUCUUGGUUCCUGUCUCUGCAAAUCAAUCUCCUCUUAUCCCCAAUUUCACCAAUUUCUAGCUAGUCCCACUAUUAAACUUCAGGUCCUCAACAGAAUAAUCUUCUGUGCUGCAAGGAUUCCCAUCAGUGUCACGUUGGCCCAGGAAAGCAAUUGAGUAAGAACAGUAAACAAAAUGUACUGAGAAUGAUACGAAAACAAAAUCUGAUUACAAAGCCUGAUCAAGCCUCAGAUUCCAUGCAUUGUGCAUUGUAGCGUAACUCAGCACACUGUAACAAGGCUACCAGGCUUAUUGACAAGGCAGUUAGAAAUCUUGAAAUGGAGGGUUUAGAUCAUAUCAAUUACAUACUGGGGUAUAGUAACUUCACUACAGACUAGAAGUCUGAUGGACCACAUCCCUUGUAUAGCUAGAUAAUAUUAAAAUAUGAAAUUAAAAUGAAAUAAUCCCAUUUAGAGGUAAAGUUUACUGCAAAUAUAAUCAAAAUAUCAGAUACUUACAUGACAUCUAGACUCCCGUAAAUUGUCGAGUGAGUUAGAAAUCUCAAGUUGCUUUACAACUGUAGCAUGUAGUACCCUCUUUGUUUUCUCAAGGUCAAACUCCACAGACUUGAUCCUCUCCAGCGAUUCCAUAAGCAUUUGCUCUUUUUCCAAUGGGAUUGCAGCAGGUUUGUUGCUAAGUUCCUCAACUACUUUUUCCAGGCUCUGAAGACGCUCCAUACAUGGGCGGACACAGUUUUCACUCACAGUUUCAACAGCUGUUGAAUGACUAUCAGCAUUAUGUUCCACAAGAUUAGAUGGAUGAAUAUUGUUCUGCCUUCUCCAAAGUUCAAGUGGUAAACUACGGAAAAAUGCUACUAGUUUGACCACAAAUGACAUCAGCAUUCUAGCCACACACAGAUUAUGCCUUUUCCCAAUCUUUUCCUUGACUAUGUCCAACCAAUGGCUGAUGAGACCUCCUUCCACAUUUGGUAGCAGUUCACUAUGCAAGUCGCCCAAUUCAUUGCUUUUAAGUGAUUGAUCUUCAGAAUGUCCCACUCGCAGGUUGCUUUGAACAGCCUUCUCAACCCGAGGAAAAUUUUCAUCACAACUGUAAUAGGUAUUUGGAUCUGAUGCUCUGACCUCCUCAUGAACAGGGGCCAAAUGUGGAAACAUAGAACUCCGAUUAAUUAGAGAAGGAUCAUCAAUUUCAGACCCUGAUUCAGCUGCUGAAGUUUCACUACUCCCCUUCUGCAGGGGCAUUUGAAUAUAUGAGUCAAAUUUCUGUUGGUUACUAGACACUCUGGUGAUUUGCCUCACAAAUGCUGCUUCCGCAUUAUGUACAAGCUUCAUCACAUCAGGAUCAUUCCAGGGACCUUUAUUUGAGCGCAAACACCCUCCUUCAGCAGAACAUGUGCAAGAACCACCCAAGAAGUCUGGCAAUUGACUGAAAAGAAAGAACAUACAAUUUAUAGAUGUUAUAAAGAAAUGCAAGAGAGUUAACAGACAAACCUUGAGUCAAUAACUUCCAGUAGCUUAGGCAGGGACUUGGGCUCCAAAACCUGUAUCUUUGCAAUAGUCUUUGCAUCUAGAAAUUUCUGAGCUGCAGGCCAGAGCAUCUUCUUAAAGCCAGGACCAGCAUUGACAAUAUACAUCCAAUGCAAUGUCUCAGGGUAGUAACUGUUAUCUAUCUUUGUCAUUGCAGCCAAGAGAUUUGCCGCAGUCCGAGUGAAAUUCUUAAUGCCCAAACCCUGUACAUCCAAUACUGUUGUAGUUGAACAUAUCUGCUUCCUUGCAGCAAUAGAACACGCCGGGAAUUUCUCCAGUAGUGCCCUCUCGAACUCUUGGACAUGGUAUUUCAAAUACCGAUCUAUAGUAGUGAUUUGCAUCAACCUACUUGGAUGAGCCUUUCCAAGCCUUUCAAUGUAAACUGGCCUGCCUUCCUUGUCAACUCCAUGGUAACCCUGAGGGUAAUAUUGCAAGACUUCUUCCAGCUCUUCAAACUCAAAAUCCUAAGUAGUGAUUUUUAAUUCAGUAUACUGCUAGAGUUGAAUGUCAAAAGAACUAGUAAAAAUCGUAAUUUCUCACAGGGAAUAAAUUAUAAUACAUAGGUAAUUAUCAGAAAUCAAAUGCUACCAAGAUUUUGCCCAAUUAAAAUUUACCUGCUGAUGCAGCUCCAAGUUUGUAAUUAAAUAAUAUUCUGUUUUACAUUGAGAAAAUGUUCAAGAAAUAAACUAAUCCUUAUAACAGACUAGAGCUCCACAACCUAACCUAUGAAAAAGCAACAAGGUUAGUGGCAUAAAUUAAAUUCAAUACCUCCAAUAUGGUGUCUGUUCCAUACUCUUUCCUCCAAUUAAGCAUUUCUUCCCACAUCUGGAUUGUUUUUUCAAUAUUAAACUCUCUAGCUUUCAAAAAUCUUAACAAGGUAUGAUAGUCAUCAUGCCUAGAAGGCAAUAAAUUCCUUUCAUGAAGCUUUUGGCGCAAUUCCAAUACAGCACUCUCCUCUUUUUCAUCCCUGACAUCCUCAAUGGAAACUGAGGAAACUCUAUAAUCAAUUUUUCUUUUCCCUCUUUUCUUAAGAGAAUGGGUGAACUUAUUGGAAGCAUUUAAUGCCUUUUUCUUAAGAGUGCCAAUUUUGGAUCGGCGUCUAUCAUCUUCAGAGUUAUCGAAAUCAGAUCUUCUCUCUCUGAGUUCAUAAUUAGCCCCAAUUCCUUCUAGGCCUUCAAUAAGACAACAAGCGAUUAAGCACCCCAUCAAUUAGUUUUAAUAUUAUCUAAAGCAUCAUAUAUACACCUGAGGCUGAGUUGCUCAUUGUAUAACUAACACUUCAUUUCAAUGUUCAAAUCAACGAACAGCUAAACAUACCUGACAUUUCCGCGAAAAAGGAAACCCUUAUUUUCAAAGUAGAAAACAAGAUUCAAAGCAACCUCAAAGACAUGUAUGCAGCUCUAAACUGUCAGAAACGAAAACCAAAAGGUGUUAUUGAAUACACUGCAGAUUUGAAAAGAAGAAGAAUUAGUUGGGACUGGCUGACAUAAACUAAAACCACCAACCUCCUUCCCCGGAAAAUUUAAAAUAAUAAUACUUAAAACCAAUAAGCAGUCAAGUACCUAAACACAAAUUAUCAAAGAUAUAUAAACCCUAUUUGUUUCAGGGAGCUCACCAGAUUCUCAUGGAACUUAAAAAUUUACAAGAACCACAGAUUAUUUAGUUCUGCUCACAAAGCUCUCGCAUGUUAAGCAAUCUCUAAAACCAAGUUAACCGACUAAAAUUCUCAGUAGUUAAAAAUCAGCGAAUCUGAAUCAGCUAAAUCUUGAAGAGAGAGAGAAGGGUUAUUGAAAGUGCACCCAUUUCUCUGUAUUGCUAAACAAACCAGGAAAACAUCAGGACUUCAUUUCGAACUGAGAUUCUACAAGCUUCAAUCCUUAGUUUACACAAGGGGAGGAAACAAGUUUUACAGUAGUUGAUCAUGCAAAGAACCCAGAAAAACCAAAAAAGAAUAUUUGUAUUAAGCUCAAAAAAAACUCAAAAAUCGAGAACAGUAAAAACCGUUAAAACCCAUAGCACAUAAACCAUCACUUGUCACAUUUAUACUACUGUAAAGCUCCCAGACCUGAAACCGCAUUAAAUCUCACCAAUGCCGACGCUAACCGUACGGAUCCCACCUAUGACUCAAUCAUUAAUGAAUGAAACCAAAAGCAAAAAACAACUCGAAUAGUUUCAAUGAGAAACAGAAACGCACCGAAUCAAAAGAACUCCAAAUCUGAGGAGCUACUACACCUACACGCAUCGAUUCACGCGAAGAAGAGAAGAGAAGAGAAGUAAAGCAAGCAGGAACAGAAUCUCUCUCUGGAAACACGGAGGAGGAGGAGGAGGAGGGCGGAGGAGGAGGAGGUGGGCGGAAGAGAAGGAGAGAGAGAGAAAAUUUCCCCGAGAAAAUGUACAGAGUUUUCUGGAGAAAGUGGACGGAAAAGAAAAAUCAAAAACAAAAAAGUACGGAUCUGAAAUUAUUAUUAGUGUUUAUGUUGGUUAUGUUUCUCUUCUCUCUU
rnacentral:misc_RNA from 1 species